GUUUUAAUAGUUUAAAUAAAACACCGGUCUUGUAAACCGGAAUUGGAGUAUAAAUCUUCUUAAAGCA
rnacentral:tRNA from 1 species